GACGAACCGAGCGAACGUUGUUCGGAAUCACUGGGCUUAAAGGCGCGUAGGCGGGCUGUCAAGUCUGGGGUGAAAUCCCGCGGCUCAACCGUGGAACUGCCUCAGAUACUGACGGUCUCGAGGGAGGUAGGGCGAGCGGAACUGAUGGUGGAGCGGUGAAAUGCGUUGAUAUCAUCAGGAACUCCGGUGGCGAAGGCGGCUCGCUGGACCUCUUCUGACGCUGAGACGCGAAGCGUGGGAGCGAACAGG
rnacentral:rRNA from 1 species